rnacentral:rRNA from 1 species
GACGAACGCUGGCGGCGUGCUUAACACAUGCAAGUCGAACGGAAAGGCCCUGCUUUUGUGGGGUGCUCGAGUGGCGAACGGGUGAGUAACACGUGAGUAACCUGCCCUUGACUUUGGGAUAACUUCUGGAAACUGGGGCUAAUACCGGAUAGGAGCUCCUGCUGCAUGGUGGGGGUUGGAAAGUUUCGGCGGUUGGGGAUGGACUCGCGGCUUAUCAGCUUGUUGGUGGGGUAGUGGCUUACCAAGGCUUUGCCGGGUAGCCGGCCUGAGAGGGUGACCGGCCACAUUGGGACUGAGAUACGGCCCAGACUCCUACGGGAGGCAGCAGUGGGGAAUAUUGCACAAUGGGCGGAAGCCUGAUGCAGCAACGCCGCGUGCGGGAUGACGGCCUUCGGGUUGUAAACCGCUUUCGCCUGUGACGAAGCGUGAGUGACGGUAAUGGGUAAAGAAGCACCGGCUAACUACGUG